CCCCGACACCAUCCGGCCAAAUUCCCCAGAUAAGGAAACCGAGGCCUGCAGAGGAGAGGCGGCUUGCUGAAGUCCUGGGCAGGGCCAGGAUGGGACCCAGGUCUCAGAACUCCAGCACCAAACUCUUCCUGCCGAAUUAGUCUGCUCCUGGGAGCCAGAGUGCUUCUAUUCCUACAUGAAGAAAGACAAUAUUAGGAAUGCAGAGAGCAAAUCCCAGGUACUUUUAUUAUCCGACUACUCACUGGGAAAGUUGACAAGAGAGAAGGCUGCUCUGUGUGUGCAGAUUUUUUUUCCAUCUGCUGCUCCAAGUGAACUUUCCUCCUUUAUCUGCCCUGCCCUGUGCCCUGGGAAGCUGUCCUAUAUGAACUGCCUCCUACAGUAUCCUUUGUCCUCUGGCUUCCUCCAUUUGGUUGUUGGGAGGCGCAGCAGGAGGGGAUCUUCCCAACCCAGGGAUCCAACCCGCAUCUAACCCUGCCCACACCUCCGUAAACAGUGCCUUCAUUAAACGUCCCUCAGGUUGGCCAACAGGUGAUGAGGAUUCCGUCCCAAGGCCAAUUAAAGACCUGACAUUGGAGGUGGCAACGUGGGAAUCCUCGUCUGUAACUGUGUCCUCCAUUGCAGCAGCCCCCUCCCUACUACCCACAAAUAAUCAAAUAAACUCCCAUCAAGCCAA
ensembl:lncRNA